GCCUACUGCCAUACCACCCUGAAAGCGCCCGAUCUCGUCUCAUCUCGGAAGCUAAGCAGGGGAGGGCCUGGUUAGUACCUGGAUGGGAGACCGCCUGGUAAAAUACCAGGUGUUGUAGGCU
ensembl:rRNA 5S_rRNA 5S ribosomal RNA